rnacentral:pre_miRNA from 1 species
UCUUAGGGAUGAACAAAGAAGGUGGUUUCUUGAGAUGGAAACUGCUCCUGAUUAAGAUGCUGUGAA